UAGGGAAUCUUCCACAAUGGACGAAAGUCUGAUGGAGCAACGCCGCGUGAGUGAAGAAGGGUUUCGGCUCGUAAAACUCUGUUGUUAAAGAAGAACAUAUCUGAGAGUAACUGUUCAGGUAUUGACGGUAUUUAACCAGAAAGUCACGGCUAACUACGUGCCUG
rnacentral:rRNA from 1 species